GGAUCUCACCUUUUAAUGGGGAAAUGCAACAUGCAAGUAACUAUGUACCAGCAAGAUAUAGACCAGAUCAACUAGGAAUAAUCUUAGAAUGGGAAUCACUGAGAUUCAAGGAGGGGGAGGCAAGCUUCUCACAAAAGGUGGGGUUUUAGCUGAGAUUUGAAGGAAACCAGGGAAGCCAGAAGACAAAGAUGAGGAAGCAAACAGUUCUAAGAAUGGGGGUUGUUGUUGCUCUUCCUUCAUUUUGAAGAGGACUAAGAUGUCACCAAGGAAGAUAUCUUGAUGUGCCUGAGUUGCACUAAAAUGAGGCAGAGUUGCACAAAGUCAUCAGCACCAUUCUCUCUUCCAAAGUUAAUGAAAUCCAGCAGUGGGACAAAAGUCGAGACAACUGACCAUCAAUGACCAAGGAAGCUCUAGAGUCAUCCAAAUCUGGUGGUAGGAUAAAAGUCAAGAUGACUGGCCAUAGCCUGGGAUGGAGUAGGUGAUCUCAGCCAUCUUCAAUGUCUUUAAUGUCUGGCCAAGCUCUAAACUACUCCCAGAGCUGGAUUCAGCUGUCUUCAUGGUUCCUGGAACAAAUCAUUCUCCCUCGCAUGGGGAAGUCUUCUAAGUCUUCUAAGCUGUAGCAGUUGCAGCAGCCACACUCUCUGUCUCAGCAGACAGCCUAAACAUGACUGAGGAUUACCCACAGGUCUCAAACCUGUCGGGCCCAGUUCCAGCACGACUCUCACACGUCAGAAUGACAGACAUCAGCUCUACUCAGCAGCAUUAUUCAAGUGACAGUCCCCUGGCCCGUGCAUCUCUCCAUCAUGUCAUCAUCCCCUGGGAGCUCGCCAGGACAGAGCAAUAAACAGUUUGGCAGUGUGGCUGAUUCUGUUACGAGAAGGUUGAUUGACACCCCAAAGACCAUUGCCUGUGGUGCCAGAGAUUCAGGUCCUGGGAGAUGU
rnacentral:lncRNA from 1 species